rnacentral:lncRNA from 10 species
CCACGCUGCCCAGGUCUUGAACUCCUGGGCUCAAGCAAUCCACCUGCAUCGGCCUCCCAAAGUGCUAGGAUUACAAGAGUGAGCCACCACGCCCAGCCUUCAAAACAUUAUCAUCACCCAAAACAGAAACUCUGUACCAUUAAACAGUAAUUCCACACCCCCCUCCAAUAUUACCACAUUUUUAUGAUGAGGAAAACGGAGGCACAGAGAGGCUCGGUAAAACAAUCAAUGUUACACAGCUAGCUAAGCAUAGGGGUCAGGACUCAGACUAGGCUAUUUGGCUCCAGAGCUUGCUUUCUGAAUCACUGUCUUACAUUUUUUUUCUUUUCUUUUUUUUUUUUCAGACAGAGUCUCACUCUGUCCCCUAGGCUGGAGUGCAAGACUCCGUCUCUAGAGAAAAAAAGAAAACCAGACAGAUUAAAAAGUUGCACUUACAAAGCAGUUGGGGCAUUUAUUGACAUUUAAACAAGGGAGGAGAUCCUGAACACUAGUCUCGCUCAGUUUAUAAAAACUUGAGGCCAAACUCUCCAUCAUCUGUACACAGCUUAACCACGGCCAGGAGCAAGAAUUCG